GACGUAGGGGGCAAGCGUUGUUCGGAAUUAUUGGGCGUAAAGCGCUCGUAGGCGGGACAGGAAGUUCGUGUUGAAAGACCUCGGCUCAACUGAGGGACCGGCUCGAAUACUCUUGUUCUUGAGGCAAUCAGAGGGUGAUGGAAUUCCCGGUGUAGCGGUGAAAUGCGUAGAGAUCGGGAGGAACACCCGUGGCUAAGGCGGCUCUCUAGUACGGUACUGACGCUGAGACGCGAAAGCGUGGGGAGCGAACAGG
rnacentral:rRNA from 1 species